AUUGAACGCUGGCGGCAGGCCUAACACAUGCAAGUCGAACGAGUGGCGGACGGGUGAGUAAUGUCUGUGAAACUGCCCGAUGGAGGGGGAUAACUACUGGAAACGGUAGCUAAUACCGCAUACCAUCGGAUGUGCCCAGAUGGGUUUAGCUAGUAGGUGGGGGAAGGGCUCACCUAGGCGACGAUCCCUAGCUGGUCUGAGAGGAUGAACAGCCACACUGGAACUGAGACACGGUCCAGACUCCUACGGGAGGCAGCAGAGGGGAAUAUUGAACAAUGGGCGCAAGCCUGAUGCAGCCAAGCCGCGUGUAUGAAGAAGUCCUUCGGGUUGUAAAGUACUUUCAGCGGGGAGGCGUUACCCGCAGAAGAAGCACCGGCUAACUCCGUGCCAGCAGCCGCGGUAAUUC
rnacentral:rRNA from 1 species